UCGGUUUGAACCGAAAGCGGAGUGUGACCUUCCCGGGCGACGGAGACCGGUAGGAGACCGAGCGAGAGGACCCAUGUCAGCACUCCCGUCCACAACCAUCGCCACGGAGAUGAACAGCAACUUAGCUGGAGACGAAAUCGGGAAGCUGUUUGUGGGUGGAUUGGAUUGGAGCACCACCCAGGAGACAUUACGAAACUACUUUUGUCAGUACGGAGAGGUUGUGGAUUGUGUCAUCAUGAAAGAUAAAAGCACAAAUCAGUCCAGGGGCUUCGGCUUUGUGAAGUUUAAAGACCCCAACUGCGUACGGACUGUCCUGGACACCAAACCUCAUAACCUGGAUGGUAGAAACAUUGAUCCAAAACCAUGUACACCUAGAGGUAUGCAGCCUGAAAAGACUCGAGCAAAAGAUGGCUGGAAAGGAAGCAAAAGUGACAGCAAUAAAUCUAAGAAGAUAUUUGUGGGUGGAAUUCCUCAUAAUUGCGGAGAAGCUGAACUCAGGGAUUAUUUCAGCAGAUUUGGAGAGGUCACAGAGGUGGUAAUGAUCUAUGAUGCAGAGAAACAGAGGCCUCGAGGUUUUGGAUUUAUUACUUUCGAGGCCGAACAAUCAGUGGACCAGGCUGUCAACAUGCAUUUUCACGACAUCAUGGGCAAAAAAGUUGAAGUGAAGAAGGCGGAGCCUCGGGAUAACAAAGCUCCCGCCCCCAGUCAGCUGGCAGCCAAUCAGUGGGGACCCCGAGCCAUCUUAAGCACAGCCAAUGGCUGGGCAGCACAACCGGCUCCGAGCUGGCAGCAGAGCUACGGGCCUCAGGGUGUUUGGGUGUCCACAGGUCAACCUCUUGGUAUGUUUUCUGCAUAUGGAGCUCCUUUACCUGCUGGCCGAGGGGCACCUGCACAGCCUCCCUCUCCAUUUAAUGCAUUUCUAGUCGCAGCGCCACCUACAGGGGGAUUCGGGGCACCUCAGGGAUAUCCUCAACAGGGCUUUAGCACACAACCUCAGUUUGGAUAUAGCUUUAGCACACCUCAAGGUGAACAGUUUGUAGCACAGGGAGUGCCUCCCCCUCCCGCCACACCAGGGGCAGGACCUCUGGGUUUCGCCCCGGCAACGACUCCCUCUCAGGACAUGAGCAAAGCCGCCCCAGCACAGCCGGACUUCUCCUACAGCCAGUAUGGCUUGGGUAACUAUCCUCAGGAUCCCUCUGCCUACGGACCAACGCGUCCUUCUCACACUUAUGUACAGGAAGAGCAGGGAUAUAGUGCAGGGGUCAACGGCAACAUCAACGCCUACUUUACCUUAUCACUUCCGUAGCUCCGCCCCGCCCAGUAGUGGUGAGCAGUGAGAUGGCAAGAAGAGAGCAGGUCAGUCAAGAGCAGAGGAACAAUCAUAACAACAGGUUAUGGGCAGGACCUGAGUGCUUUUGGUCAUAGCUUUGCAGACCCCAGCCAGCAAACUGCCUCAUUCGCUGCACCCCCCUCCGCACCCUCGUCAGCAGCCCAACCGGCAGCGGGCAGCUUUGGAAG